rnacentral:lncRNA from 1 species
AGUCUACACAAAUCUCUAGCUGAUAAAGAACAGUACAAGCAGCACCUGUGCCAAGACCCCCAGAAGCGUUGUGAAGGAGAUACUAUCAUAUCCUUUAACAGCCCUGGUGAUGUUCGCUGCUCUGCACAGCACACGGUGACUACAUCCCAGAUCCAGAGCUGCGGAACUCUGGGGCCACGUCUCCAGCGCCGCAUUCGGCGGCACACGGAGGCCUGAGAAGGCGGGAGGGGUCAGUCUCUGGCUUCGAGUAGCAGCAAUACCAGGACAACCAUAGCUGAGUCAUGUCAAGAUGAACCAUAUGGCAUUACCAUUUUUUCACAGGUCAGGGCAAAGAAUACUGGUGAAUUC